rnacentral:rRNA from 1 species
AAUGGCCUAACGGCUGAACCGGCAAUUUGGAGGAAUGUAAAAGAUAUGUGCUUUUUUAAGUACAUGUCUUUUUAGUGGUUUAUCCGCAUAAAGUUCUGGGUAAAAUACUGAUAAUGACAAUUUUUUAUCUAUAAGUCUUGACAAAAUCACGUGCCAGCAGUCGCGGUAAUACGGGAAAGACAAGCGUUAAUCAUUCUAAUAGGUUUAAAGGGUACCUAGACGGUAAAUCUAGCCUUUACCAUCAGGUACGGAUUUUCUAGAGUUUUAUGUAAGAGGUAUAUUAGUACUGACGGAGUAGAGAUGAAAUUCUUUGAUAUUGUCGGGCACUGGUAACGGCGAAGGCAACCCUUUAUGUAAAAACUGACGUUGAGGGACGAAGGCUUGGGUAACAAACAGGAUUAGGUACCCUAAUAGUCCUUGCAGACAAAUAUGAAUGCCAUAGAUUAGGACAAUUCUUAUCUAUAAGUGAAAAUGUAAGCAUUCCACCUUAAGAGUAUUGCGGCAACGCAGAAACUGAAAUCAUUAGACCGUGUCUGAAACCAGUAGUGAAGUAUGUUAUUUAAUUCGAUGGUCCGCGAAAAACCUUACCACAAUUUGAAUAUUAUAGUGAUUAUUAUCGCUUAUAAUACAGGUGUUGCACGGCUGUCUUUAGUUAAUGUCGUGAGAUGCAGGUUAGCUCCGUUAAAUUAACGUAAACCCACCUCUCAUUUAUAAAUGAAAGGGUUCCCCGCAAUAUCGGAUAUGAUAACAGGGAUUAAGACAAGUACUCGCGGCCCUAA